rnacentral:tRNA from 1 species
AGGUGUGUAAUUAGGUGGGUUGGGAGUGCGCACGGUUCGCAUCCGUGAGGUCAGCGGUUCGAUCCCGCUCAUCUCCAC